GCCUCUGUGGUGUAGUGGUAGUAGCACGCGUGCCCGGUAUGGACGAAACACGGACUUGACUCCCGUCUGAGGUC